UACGGGGGGGGCAAGCGUUGUUCGGAAUUACUGGGCGUAAAGGGCUCGUAGGCGGCCAACUAAGUCAUACGUGAAAUCCCUCGGCUUAACCGGGGAACUGCGUCUGAUACUGGAUGGCUUGAGAUUGGGAGAGGGAUGCGGAAUUCCAGGUGUAGCGGUGAAAUGCGUAGAUAUCUGGAGGAACACCGAUGGCGAAGGCAGCCUUCUGGGCCAACACUGACGCUCAUGCACGAAAGCGUGGGGAGCAAACAGG
rnacentral:rRNA from 1 species